GCCUCCUCUGGCAAGCUGGGUGUAAUCACCCUAAUCAGAGAGCCCGUUGCUGCAUCCUGAAGAAGGAGUUAAAUAGUUGGUGCGUGCGAGCCGGAUAGACUGAAGCGUGUAGACGGGAGGCAUUUCUACCAAGUCAGGAGGACAGGCAGCCGGUUUUUCACCUACACAAAAUGACCCAUUCAGCAAUUGGACAUUUGUUUAAGUAAACUGCUGAAAUAAAAGUCUGAAAAGAAAAGCUGUGUCAUUGGAGUGGAAUCCUGUUUCAAAGCCCAGUAUAUUCCUCAAGUCCCUUUUCAAGUGUGGAAACUGCACCAAAAACAGAGGAGACUUGACAGUUGAAGUGCACAAAAAUACACAGAUGAAGCAAUUCUGGUUCCUCAGGACAUGGUUUGUGUUAUUUGUAUUGUUUCUUAAUACCCCCUCAUAUGUUACCCUCUGCCUACUGAACUGAGAAACACACCAAGUAUCUUGCUCCCUAAAUAUCCCAUAUUUUCUCAUUGGGAAAGUUUGAUAAAUGUUUUUAUUAUGACUGUCUAUGCAUAAUUUAUUUGUAUCUUUAUUCCUUUUUAUUAUCUACCUCCUCAGUGCUCAUGUCAUUUGGCCUUGUUCUGCCCGACUUUAUUUCCUUCUGUAAAACUCUUUGUAUCAUUGUUAAGA